ensembl:lncRNA
AAUCAAGCAGUAAAGCCCGCCUCCUUGUGCUCGAAACCCGUUUACUGUAGAAAAAAGGAAAUAUACAAGUGAGUUUUAUUCUACUAGUCAUCCUGCUACUUUCUAACGUUAAAGAAACGGUCACAAACUAUUUUAACUGUCCGUUUUUAGCCGUUGAGCGCCAUUCACUCCCAUUCAUUGAGGACCCACUCGCGGCCUGUAUUUGAUAUAACAGGGGGAAUAGGAAGCGGCCCGGCUCCUCAUAAACCGGCUCUGGUGGAAGCCGAUCAUAUUAUGGAUUCGUAGCAACAUGGAUUUGUAGCAAACCAUGCUGGAACAAAAAAACUGAAGAGCCACCCUUUAUUUCACUGAGUUCAUGUGAAUCUGGGGUUAAUAAAAAGAAUGUUUUACUAAAUGCAGGAAGAGAGGGAGGAUUGAUAGGACUGAAGGAGCAGAAUCUGAUGGAGAACAUCUUACGAAGUGUUGGCCAUUGCAAGCCUGACCACCCUGCAGCUGUGUAUGAUAUGAUCAUUUUGUCUGCUCGUACAGCAGCACUGGGAGAAUGUGUGACAGAAGAGGAGGCAGAAAAUGAGAGAAGCACGGUGGAUAUGGAGGGAUGAACAGAUGGUCCCCACUUGAAGCACCUGCAGACCAAAGAAUCUACACUGCAUGUAAGUUUCCUCCGAUGAAACUGUAGAUGCUCCACAUCCUUUUUUUCUGCCUCCCUCUGUCUGAUCCGUCUCUUCCUCUUUCCCUCCUCCCCUUUUCUCCUGAGUUUGGAUGACUCAGCAUAAUGUUUACAGUUGUCCCGUGUGUUUUUUCCUUCUCGCUACUCUGAGAUCAGUAUGCUGUGCUACAUAGACUGACUGCGGUUGUUUUCUGAAAGGAAAGACUGACCCCAGAUCUACCCAGAGCUGCCCAGUAGAGAGAAUUACUGUUACAGCUGGGUGAAAAAUGAUCCAGGGUGGUGGCCAUAUGAGGAAAUACGCUGGAGGAGAGGGAAGGGGUGGAGACAGGAACCUGAGGAAGCUUUUAGUGAAGUGUUAGGGUUAGUGCUGGUGUGUGUGGGUGUGGAGGUCAAGUAGCAGAAUGGGUGGUGGAGAAUGUGCAUCCACCCUGAAGGCGUGCGUGUGUGGUGCGUUUAUGCACGGGGGGUGACGUAUAUUGUGGUGCAUUGACUUUGUACGCAUAGCAGUCUGAUUUAGCCAGCUAGCUGCAGUAGUGGGUCACUGCUGACUUUAUAUUUGUAGCUUGUGCACUCUUGCUCUUUGGUCGCAAGUCACUGAAGGUUCAAAGGUUUGUGGUUAUCUUGUAACUUGUGUAACUUCAAAAACGCAGCAAGACGAAGGCUGGGAAGUACAAGCACAUGGUAAGGCUCUUAUGUUUCUCUAGUCUGCUUUCAUUUCAUGAAUAGGAAGUUAAAGGAAGCAGACAUAACCAAACUGUAAUAGAACUUUCCUAACUGGGGUCCAAGCACUGUUAUUUUUAUCACUGUUACUUUAAGUAGUGUUAGUAAUGUUAUAGCGUUGUUCUUCAUUGUAACGAGGUUUUGAACUCUGCUGCUGUUCCUUUCUAGCUUGUGUAGCUGCAAAGAGUUAGCGGUUGCUUGCAACGUGAGUGGGCGGACAUAGAGGACACGGUAUGGAAAGACUAAACAAGUCAUUCACUGUUAUAAAAAUGGAAAACAGGUAGUCAUUUUUGCUUUAUGCCUAUGCCAAUUUCAUAAGAACAUACAGUCAGCACUCAAAAGGGAUUAUUGCACAUAUUUUGCAAAAAUCCUACAAAAUUCAAGCAUUGAGACAUAAACAAAGUCUUUCGUGUUGGCUUGAUGUUAAAGGAUUCAUUGCAGAGCAACGUAUCAGCUUGUGUAUCUUUACAAUGGAGGAGAAUGAAGCCAUUGAUCUCACUGAAUGCAAGUAUAGCCAGUUUAUUAAUGAUACAAAAUGACAACUGAACCUACAUCUUCUGAGUUGUGUAUGUAACAUUGAUUAUGAUGAUAUAGUAGUAAAUCUUUUCUUUGGGAGAUCCUUAAGACCUCAUGUAGUGGUACAGUGGUGUGACCGGAAUCUGAAGCUAAGAUCCAGGUCAGUGUCCCAGAUUCAUUAGCAGCCCUAGUGGUGUCUCCUACCAAUACAGCGAGUCCGGCUCAUUCUCAGUAUUGCUCAUCCCUCUUCCUGGAGGCCCACUGCCCUUGCACUUCUUAGUUUUUAGUUUUCUGCUUUAGGUUUUCUGCUCCCAACGCACCUGAUCCAGCUAAUUAGCUCAUUAACAGGACCUUAUUGAGUUAAAGUGGCAGGAAAAGAACUGAAAUGUGCAGGGCAAGUGGGCCUCCAGGAGCAGGAUUGAGAAACACUGCAGUAGAGCAUUCGCUGUUCUCCCCCUAUGCUCAAGGAUUCAGUGUUAAUGUAAAUAAGGUAUGCGCUUACAAGAAAAAUAUAUGUGCUGGGAGAAGAAUGGCUUUGUGCUAAGAAGUGUCACAAACUAAGGAUUUAAUAACGGUCAUGCCGUUAUGUACCUUACUGUGCAGAAACAGACACCACCCUUCAUUUACUUGAGUUCCAGUCAGUAUAAAUUAUUCAUUCAAAGCAGGAAACAGAAUCCAACAAAGUUACACAGAUGUUUCAACAACUAAAUAUGUCAUAUUUUAAGUGUUUAGUUUAUACACCUUUCCCUUUACUGUAGCUUCCAAUCUUUUCAGGAGACCUUCUUUCCGUUUUCCAAAUAAAUCUGCAGGGAUAUUUUUCCACACCUCCAAAGUCUUAAAAGUUACACAGUUUGUCUUCUCUCAGUGGAAGGAUGGAGCUCCUCGGCCUCAAAGAUGAAAGCUUGAACUACUGUUUAUCUGAUGGGUGCCAUUUUGGUGGUGUGUGAGGUCUUGCAUGGCUGUUAGGGGUCCCAUUUUUUCAGUAGCUUGAACUUCAGGUUAGGUAGACCUGUUUUUUCACAUUUAAAUUUAAAUUAAAUACAUAAGUUGUUCUGAAUUUUGCACUGCACUGUAUAUGCAUGUAUACGUCUAUGUAGACGUCUUGCAUGUGAUAGUCGUUCCCAUUACACUUAGCUAUGGAUUGCCUUCUAAUGUCUGUAUGGGUUCCAUAUGAUUAAAAUACAUGACAUCAACAUUUCCAUUUAGUGAUAUAAUAUAUCACUGUUGUCGGAUCAAAACCUUGCAUCUCCAAAAUGGUAACUUUACAGGAGAAGGGAAAAAACAUACUUUACUUUUAAUGUAAGUCAAUGGAACCAGACAUCUUUCCAAGUCAUUUUGGAUUUCUAUUGGUCCAUUCAUCAUGAAAUUUAUACACAAUGUAAAGGACCAUGAAUGCUUUCAAAUUAAGUCCAAAACUGAAAAAUGUUUUGUUCCGACAGCAGCGAUAUACGUAAUACAUUAGAUUCAUGUGGAAUUUGAAUUAAGUGAAUUAAUAGCUCUAUAGCUGAUCUGCAUGAUU